rnacentral:misc_RNA from 1 species
GAAAUGCGAUAAGUAAUGUGAAUUGCAGAAUUCAGUGAAUCAUCGAAUCUUUGAACGCACAUUGCGCCCGCCAGGAUUCUGGCGGGCAUGCCUGUCCGAGCGUCAUUUCAACCAUCAAGCCCCCGGGCUUGUGUUGGGGACCUGCGGCUGCCCGCAGGCCCUGAAAACCAGUGGCGGGCUCGCUGUCACACCGAGCGUAGUAGCAAUCACCUCGCUCAGGGCGUGCUGCGGGUUCCGGCCGUUAAACAGCCUUACAAAACCCAAGGUUGACCUCGGAUCAGGUAGGAAGACCCGCUGAACUUAAGC